UACAGAGGGGGCAAGCGUUGUUCGGAAUUACUGGGCGUAAGGGCGCGUAGGCGGCCCGCUAAGUCGAACGUGAAAUCCCCGGGCUCAACCCGGGAACUGCGUCCGAUACUGGCGGGCUUGAAUCCGGGAGAGGGAUGCGGAAUUCCAGGUGUAGCGGUGAAAUGCGUAGAUAUCUGGAGGAACACCGGUGGCGAAGGCGACAUCCUGGACCGGUAUUGACGCUGAGGCGCGGAAAGC
rnacentral:rRNA from 1 species